rnacentral:rRNA from 1 species
AUACGAAGGGGGCAAGCGUUGUUCGGAAUAACUGGGCGUAAAGCGCACGUAGGCGGAAUGUUAAGUUAGAGGUGAAAUCCCAGGGCUCAACCCUGGAACGGCCUUUAAUACUGGCAAGCUAGAGACCGAGAGAGGUGAGUGGAAUUCCGAGUGUAGAGGUGAAAUUCGUAGAUAUUCGGAGGAACACCAGUGGCGAAGGCGGCUCACUGGCUCGGUACUGACGCUGAGGUGCGAAAGCGUGGGGAGCAAACAGGAUUAGAUACCCUAGUAGUCC